UACGGAGGGUGCAAGCGUUAUCCGGAUUCACUGGGUUUAAAGGGUGCGUAGGUGGGCAUGUAAGUCAGUGGUGAAAUCUCCGGGCUUAACCCGGAAACUGCCAUUGAUACUAUAUGUCUUGAAUACCAUGGAGGUGAGCGGAAUAUGUCAUGUAGCGGUGAAAUGCUUAGAUAUGACAUAGAACACCAAUUGCGAAGGCAGCUCACUACGCGGUUAUUGACACUGAGGCACGAAAGCGUGGGGAUCAAACA
rnacentral:rRNA from 1 species